rnacentral:rRNA from 1 species
UACGGAGGGUGCAAGCGUUAAUCGGAAUUACUGGGCGUAAAGCGCACGCAGGUGGCUGAGUCAGUCGAUUGUGAAAGCCCUGGGCUUAACCUGGGAAUUGCAGUCGAUACUACUCAGCUUGAGUUUGGGAGAGGGAUGCGGAAUUCCAGGUGUAGCGGUGAAAUGCGUAGAUAUCUGGAGGAACACCGGUGGCGAAGGCGGCAUCCUGGACCAAUACUGACGCUGAGGAGCGAAAGCCAGGGGAGCAAACGGG